UCCAGCAAAUCUCCAAUCUGGCAAACUGGUCACUGCAGCACACAGACCCUGGGGGACUGGCUGUUUGCAGGCCAGGGGGUUUGCAAGGAGGUGACAGUGGCUGGGCCCCAGAAGCACCCCUCUCUUGCCAGGCGAGCCAUCUACCAAGAAGGCUCCUCUCCCAGACCUGGCUAUGCCAGCCAGCCGAGGCUCAACCACUGGGGGACGGGAGCAUUCAGGGUGCCGUGGCCAGUUGCCUAAGCAGCAUGGUUGGGACACAGUAAUUGGCUCAUGAGCAGACACGUGACCGGAGCUGAGCCAAUCAGAGCCAGCCCAAAGACUUUAGCCGCCAGGAGCAUCCGGUACUCACAGGCAGGGGGAUGGGGUCCCAGAGUUGCCAGGCCAGCUCUGCCCUGACUAGGGGAGCACCUGCCUGGGUGAAGACUACCCGGACCAAGUCAGGACUGGGGAGGGACAGAGCACAGGAAUGCCAGGCCUGAAGCUUGUCACUCGCCCCUACAUCACAGUUCUUGGGGCCCAGCGCUUUCAGGUUUUGCUAAAUCCGAGUGGGUGUCAGCACCGGGCUGGGCUCAUCAGGGAUAGGUGCACACACGCAUGCCUCCCUCCUCUCCCACAGGACCAUCCCCAGUGACCCAUCUCCCACACUGAGCCCCACUCCACCCCCAGCACUCCUGCGGCUCCAGAUGGUCACAGUGUAAACCUGUGCUGACAACAGGACAACCGGGCCACCGCCGGCUUACC